rnacentral:rRNA from 1 species
CGGACGGGUGAGUAACGCGUGGAUAACCUGCCGUAUACCGGGGGAGUAACACUUAGAAAUAGGUGCUAAUACCGCAUAAGCGCACGGCUCCGCAUGGGCAGUGUGAAAAACUCCGGUGGUAUACGAUGGAUCCGCGUCUGAUUAGCUAGUUGGCGGGGUAACGGCCCACCAAGGCAGCGAUCAGUAGCCGGCCUGAGAGGGUGGACGGCCACAUUGGAACUGAGACACGGCCCAAACUCCUACGGGAGGCAGCAG